ensembl:snoRNA SNORD36 Small nucleolar RNA SNORD36
UUGCAAUGAUGCUUUGAAUUUGUUGAACUGAAUCUGUUAUGUUGAUUCAAAACACGAGCUUUUUAACCCUGAGCUAA